GCUUCUUGGUCUCCCCUCCCGCUGCUCUACCUGCACACCUGCAAUCAAUCAGCUAAUCAACACCUCAGGCCUCUGCAGCACACAGUCCUCGGCUCUGCCAGUUUGUCACCAGUCACCAGUGGAGGACAGCUAUUUUAGCCCUUCCUGUGCCUCGGCUCUGCCGUGCCAGCUCGACCGCUUGCCAGCCACACUCAGUCAAGUCCCUGGGUCCUGUUCCGUGCCAGUUUGCAGAUUCUGUCCUGUCUAAGUGUCCACCCCCCCCGCCCCACAUCAUCUUCACUCAACUCAACCCUGCUCCACGACCGGCUUCAUUCGGCCAUUUGCAGCCCUCUUACACACAACUGCCAUUUUCAGGAUGGAAAUUACAGGGCUCCUCAUAAAGCAAGUGACGGUGUGGCACAUCAGGACAUCGCCGUGAAACAAGAGCACAGGUUUUGGUCUCCAUGAGAACUCCUGGUCCUGACGAGGUCUGUGUUUAUGCCAGA